rnacentral:lncRNA from 1 species
AGGAAAGGGACCUUCCAAGCCAAGGACUUGAGAGCCUUUCACACUUAAAUUUGUUUAUCUGAAAAUGGUGAUUCUGUGCUUCUUGUCUGAUGGGGACUAAAUGUGAUACGUUACAUGAAGCUUUCAGGAGACUCUUGUGGCAAAUCAUCACCAGGGUUCUCCUGAAAGAGAAGGUGAUGUGGCCCAGAGCCCUUCCUGAGAAAGGCGUAUUCCUCAGAGAGGAAAGCAUAGAAGAGCUGUCAUGGAGAAUAUCUGGGGGCAGCUCACGGUCCAGACAGAGAGACUGGAGGUGUCCCUUCCAAACUAUUCCUUUUGGACUGUGGUGUGAAAGUCUGCCUGCCAUCUAUGGAGACUUGAAGAGUUUGGUGGUAAGAAUUCUCCUUCCAAAUGCUAUUAGAUUUACUCAUCUUUUCCCAGUGAUAGUUUAAAUAUCAAGCUUUGGUAAAGUG